UACGGGGGGAGCAAGCGUUGUUCGGAUUUACUGGGCGUAAAGGGCGCGUAGGCGGCCAGCACAAGUCAGUUGUGAAAUCUCCGGGCUUAACUCGGAAAGGUCAACUGAUACUGUGCGGCUAGAGUGCGGAAGGGGCAACUGGAAUUCUUGGUGUAGCGGUGAAAUGCGUAGAUAUCGGGAGGAAUACCUAUGGCGAAAGCAGGCUACUGGACCGUCACUGACUCUGAUCUGCGAAAGCCAGGGGAGCAAACGGG
rnacentral:rRNA from 1 species